UUAGAGUGACACACCGCUAAGUAAACCGGACCAGAGACAGGGAAAGUCAAUGCCCACCAUCCCUGGAAAUAAGCCUCAACCGCUCCGGUACUUAGAAAAACACAGACAGACAGACGGACGUGUUCUGGACUCCCUCUCCAUUUCUAGCAGACAUCUAUCUUUGGAACAAUUUCAUGGAGUCGCUUAAAGAAAACCAUAACAAAAAUGGAGAGGCAAGCCCUUACCAUUAGAUGUGAGGUGUAUGCAGGGAAGGGAGCGGAAUAUCCCCUCUGACAGUUCCCGGGGGGACCCCAAGAUUCUAGAGAAUCCAGUUUGAAAAUCACCGUGUCGGAAAUUACUGUUCUUGCUGUGAGACGGGGCUUUAUAAGUGAAAAUCUGAACUUACUUGUAUGAAAACUGUUUUGUAGCUGUUUUCAUAUAGUUCCUGAUUUGUCAACAGAUAGACUCCCAGAAUUCUCUCCAUUUGACCUCCAUUGCAUGAAGUUGCCUUUUGAUUCAUUUGGAGGGGGCGGAAGACACUCGAAACUUCAUCAGGCUUUGGUAUUUCUACUUCAUACAUCACUGCCUUUUAUUUAUCUUCAUUAUCAGUUCUUUGGUGUUCUAAAGAGUUUCCAAAUAAUGAAAGAAAUAAAACAUGGUGUUCCACCUAUAAGGACUAGAUAUAUGGAAUAAGAAAGUUUGGGUCAUCUCCACACUGAGACAUCCAGCAAUGCCUGGUUCACAGAUGGAAAUCCUUUCUCCAGUAUCCCCUCUAACAUCUCCCCUGCCCCUAUACAUGCACACAAACACAUACAUUUGCUUGGUUCCUUACAUUUUAAUGGAUCCCAUAAUUCCUUCUUAGGGGCCAAGAGCUAAUGAUAGUUAUUCAUGCUGCCCUGGAAGUCCCCUGAGACAGUACUUAGACAGCUUUUGCCCUCCUCAAUAUUCCACAUUCUGUUUCAAUGUCUUUUCAUAAGCUCUCUCCCAUGCCUGGAAUUCACUCAUUCCUCAACUCUCCUCUUGGAAUUAGUGUCCUUAGAGGGUCAGCUCAGGUACCACCUCCUAAGGACGCCUUUCUCUGGUCUCCUAGUUGUUAAUAUCAUGUCCUCCUCCUAAUGAUUUGAUUCUUAUUUAUCAGGGGAAACAUACUCUCCCCAAAGAAUGCAAAUCUCACUAAAGACAAACAUUGGGCUUUUUUCCUUCCUUUUAUCUUUGCACCUCUAGGACAUAGCACAAUGCCUUGCCCAUAACUGAAGCUUUAUAAAUGUUUAUUGCUGCAAAUCACUUAUCAGCUUAAUGGGGGAGGGAGAGAGAGAGAAAGAUGAAGAGAGCAAACGAGGAACUCAAAAUGUUAGAAAAAAGAGUGCCAAAAUUGUUUUUACAUAUAAAUGGAAAAAUAAAAGACUACUAAAAAUUUUUAAAUGCUUAUUGCAUGAAUGAGUGGAUAAAUAACUAAAAGAAAUAUUAGGAAUGAAUAACUUCAUAUAGGCUUUUUUUGGUAAGCUAUGUAGAUCAAGUUUCAUCAUGUUGGAGUCCUGUGGCUUGUCAGCCUCAGCAAGUAUUUAAAAAUAUCCUACUUGUCUUCUCCUUUUAAUUAGGAGAUUAUUAUAAUAAUAAAGCCUUGACAACAGGUGCUCUUUGUCUUUUAUCCUUUCCACUUAAUAUUCAUAGAUAACAGUCACAUAGUACUGUAAGAUUUGCAAAGUACUUUAUACAUGUUAACUCAUUUGAUCCUUACAGCCAUCCAGUGAAGUAGAUCAUCCCCAAUAUAUACAGAUCAGAAAACUGAGGUUUGUCCAAAUUUGUACAGCUAGUGAGUAUCUGAGGCCAGAUGGUUUUCCUGACACCAGACUAGCACACUAUCCAUUAUUCCAAGUUGCCCACAAGCUUAUUACUUACUCUUUUAUUUCUUCAUUUAAGCAUCUUAAUUUUUCAUCCUGACUCUCCUUCCUAAAAAAGUCUUGAGUACUCUUCAACUCCACCUCUUGGCUUUUUUUAGUCUCAGUUAAAAUUUCACCUUUUGCAAUAAGCUUUCCAGCCUCUUUUAUUGACAGUGCUUUCACUUUGAGAUUACUUUCAAUUUAUUCAGCAUAUAAUUUAAAGUAUAUAGUUGUUAGCAUACUUUCUCCCCCCCCCCCUUAGAAAAUGAGCUCUUAGAAGACAAAGAUGGGUUUUGCUUUUCUUUGUAUCCACAGUUUUCA